rnacentral:lncRNA from 1 species
UGUGGUCUUCUGAACCUGUUCUCCUGCUUGUAGGGGAUCUGGGACAUUGAUGACACAAACUUUGCAUCAGGUGCAGCAUUCCAAUUCCAGUGCCAAAGGACUGCAAGCCUGAAACUCCAGUCCUCCUGCCCAGCGCCACGAGCAGCCCACAGGACCCUGUGCGGUGAUUGGAGAUUGUGCAAGUCUGAAUGUGCCCCGCAG